CAGGGGUGUUGGGAGAGCGGGUGUUGGGGGUGGGGCACAGAAGCCCCGAGUCCCUUCCCCAGACCUCGCCCGGGGCAGCCCCUCCCACUGACUGUUAGAUCCUUUCAGAGGAAAGCAGCGGAUCUAGCAAGUCAGGUGCUUUCCUGAGUCUUGUGAGCCGCUCUAACAAGUUAGUUGAACCCCAGGAAGGGUCGUGGGACCCUCUGGCCUACGUAGCUGGUCGGUCAGGAGCACAGGGGAGGGCCUGCACCCCUGGCUGGCGUCUGGCGUGGGGGAGGGGCAGCCCCGUGGGGUCGGACUCCGUUUCCAGGUGGCCGCUGUCAGAAUUCCGUUACGUUGUGGGACGCUGGGCCGGGGGUCCCAAUCCUCAGGAGUUACCUUGAGAACGGGAUUCAGAGGACCAAGGAAUCCUAGAGCGGCUGUAACCGAACCAAGAUUUUUGGUGGUGGCAGUGACAGGAUCCAAAGGAGACUUCUGCUAACUUCGGUGACUAUGAGACACGCAGGCUGUAGGGGGCCCUCUUCAGGCAUCUUUCACUGCUUGGCCAAAUGCCAAAGUGGGAGCAGUAAAGAACUGUCUACACCCGGGGGGAUCUGCAGAAGUAUUCUGAGGAAUUUGGAGUUCUUCUCAAGGCUUCUGAGCCUGGGCUGCCAGAUCUUUCUCAAGCGUGUGCACCUGUGAGAGAGAAGGACCUGGUGAAGCCUCCAAACGGACGUGGGAGCAGACCGGUGUCACUCCAAGGGCAACAUUCAAGAUUUUUGAUCUUCAAGAGGGUCUGGAAAAAAACCCACAAAAUAGCAUUGAGUCUUU